rnacentral:rRNA from 1 species
CCUACGGGUGGCAGCAGUGAGGAAUAUUGGUCAAUGGACGCAAGCCUGAACCAGCCAUGCCGCGUGCAGGAAGACGGCUCUAUGAGUUGUAAACUGCUUUUGUACGAGGGUAAACGCAGAUACGCGUAUCUGUCUGAAAGUAUCGUACGAAUAAGGAUCGGCUAACUCCGUGCCAGCAGCCGCGGUAAUACGGAGGAUUCAAGCGUUAUCCGGAUUUAUUGGGUUUAAAGGGUGCGUAGGUGGUCGGAUAAGUUAGAGGUGAAAUCCCGAGGCUCAACCUCGGAAUUGCCUCUGAUACUGUUCGGCUAGAGUGUAGUGGAGGUAGGCGGAAUGUGUGGUGUAGCGGUGAAAUGCUUAGAGAUCAUACAGAACACCGAUUGCGAAGGCAGCUUACCAAGCUACUACUGACGUUGAGGCACGAAAGCGUGGGGAGCAAACAGGAUUAGAUACCCGUGUAGUC